UCAGCUUAGACUAUCAUCCUUGAUGGCUUCUCAAAACGAAAGCCGAGGCGCAGUCGCCGGUUCACUGUCCUUUACUACCAGAGCAAAGUGCGACUUUUCCGCACGCUCGGGAAAUGUGCGUUGAAAAUCACACUUCCCACACAUCGUAGCGAAAAAUACGCUCUGCUAGAACGCGUCAACAUCACAGUCUCCACUAUAUUUGCAAUAGUGAAUAGUUGACAGUGAGAUAGCAGUAGAUACAAUUAUGAAUCGCUUGUCGGAAAAUGCAGCUAUGACGAGUCCUGCUGUAAACAAAAAUCAGAUCAAGCUCUCAGUACCAGAAGGAAGACUUAAAGCUCUGGAAGAAAGUUGGACUAACAUCACCGAACAAAUUAAGGGCAUGCAGCUGCAGGUCCACUUUAAUCCAGUUACAAAAAUGCUUGUAUUAAGCACCACUCCAGAAACGCGAUAUACCGAGUACCUUGAUAUCGCAGGGGAGUCUUUAAAAGCAUUCAUAAAUGGCUUCGAAUUCGAGGAUGCAUUAUGUGUGUUUCAGGCUUAGAUUAUGAUUUAUAGAUUAAAUAUUUUUAUUAUUUCAACGAUAUAUUUUAUUUUUAUUAUUUUAUCAUGUAAACUUUAACAAUUAAUAAAAAUGUACUUAGUUUUCCAAUAAUAACUUUUUAUAACAUUUUAUAAAGAAUAGUUUGACCUAAAUCAAUAAUGCAUAGUAGUAAGUUGAUGAAAUUUGAUUUGUCACUUUAUGAGCUUCUGAAGCCUACAAUAAUGAUUCUCAAAUAUUCGAGUUAGUAACUUGGGAUUGAGAGAUGAUGAUAAAAUAUUAAAUUUGGUUUACGAACAGCCCAAGAUUAAUUGCUCAGUUUUUAGUAAUAUAGCAUAUUAAUUUGAUAUUUGGAAACGAGUUCACAACAAGUUUAAAAAUAAGUGUCACUUUAAUAUAUAAACAUUAAUAAUAAUUUUACGUUAACUUACGUUAUUUCACAUUAUUUUAAUUUUUUAUUAUAUUUUGUACUAUUUGCAUAAUUUUUCAUUUUAUUUAUGUAAUUUUUAUGGUUGCGCUAACAAUGAUAUGUUAUGCUUUGCCCUCAUCAACCAUUUAUACACGGUGGAAUAAAUUCAUUAAUGUAAUUAAUACUAUUUUUUUAAUCAAUAAAACUGACAGUAAAGAUUUAGAAAAAUAAUGACAUCCAUAUGAAUAACAAUUGUACAACGUUUGAAAAAACAAAUCCAUCACCCAAUGUUUCCAGGCUAUUCAAAUAGUUAAGGACCACCCGUAUAUGUCGCAAGCGAUAAGCAUUUUCAGGCAUUAAGCAGAAUGGCCGGGCAUUAAGCAAAACGAUGGCAAAUAGCAUAACUUACAUGCAAGAAUCGCAUAUACACAUAUUUGUCACGUUCGAUUGGUUGUUUUGCUUAAUUCCCGGGCAUUAAGCAAAAGUGCUUAACCAAGUAGAUAUUUAGAAGUAGAAA